UUUGACAACAGUGUAGUUGCCUGUGCCAUUUUAAAUAAAGUUUAUUUAAAAGAAACUUGAACAGCAGUUUGGGAAGUCAGUUGGAGCCAUGGUGAGGAAAGAGCUGGCGACGCCAUUACGCAGAGAUGAGCAGCUGAGAGAGGGGAGACAAAUAAGCUGAAAAUUGCAUGAGAGAGUAAGCAGAAGUGCAAAAUACAGCAGUGGAAGUGCAGCAAUUAACAACCCUGCCUGCCUUUCUUUGUGUCUGGGGAAACCUUGCCUCUCUGCCAGGAAUAGAGAAGAGCUGCAGCUGAAGGAGGAAUAGUCCAUCAAGGUAUCCCUGACCUGUUCCACAUAGUUUACACACUUGUUAUACCGGGGUGUUACAAAUGGCGUCCUCGAACAGGAUUUGCAGAGUCCAAAGCAAGCCUUACCCCCAGCACAGAGAAGAUGUCACAAAACAGGCAACCUGCAGGAGAGGGACCAGCACCCAUUGUUGAAGAUCCAGUAAGAGCAGCUCCAGUUAUGACUCCUGCUACCCCAAUCACCAUGCCAUACUACUUUGGGGCCCCUUGGCUCCCAAUCUACACAGGUAUUGCCCACAGCACUGAAACCAGCAUCUUAGGAGAUUUCAAGAUGAAAAUGCAGUCUUUGUUUCGUCUGUACCCGCUGAAGGAGCAGCAAAAGGUGGAGAUCUUGAUGGGACAGUUGAAAGGGCUUGCACUUAGAGAGGUUACUUCCUGGCCUACUGAAGAGAAGAAGACUGUGGACCAGAUCCUCAACAGGCUUGCUACCACAUUUGACACAAGGACAGUGUCAGAACUUAAAAUGCACUUCUUUGCUCGAAAGCAACAACCAGGAGAGUCACUACGGGGCUAUGCCCUCAGCUUGCAGGAAGCACUCAGAGAUGUUCAGCAAGCAGACCCUGAGGAAGUGCAUGACAAAGAGAAAAUGUUAUUGGACCAGUUCACUGAAGGUGCAAGGGGCGAAUUUGUAAAAACUCAGCUGCGACUAUUGAGAUUGCAGAAGCCUGGAAGCACAUUCCUGGAUUUUAAAGAGGCUGCGAUUGAAGUUCUAGGCUCCAGUCUUACUUCAGGGGCUGUUCCACAAGAGUCUAUUCCAGAGAUGCCAAGGUAUCAAGAGAAUUCUGAUGCCCAGGAGUCAAGUUUUAAAGGAGCUACUUACCCACCUACAGUAAAAGGAGUGACAGUGCCAUGUUCAAAGACAUGCAUAUCUGACUCUUCUAGUGAGUUACGAGGUCAGCUGGCUGAACUGACACGUGGUGUGACAGAGAUGCGCAGAGACCUGCAGAUUCUGAAGAGACAGCAGGCACUGCUCCAUGAAGAAAUGGAAUGGUGCCAGGAGAGGAGACCACUGAACAGUUCCCAAUGGGACGUACAUAGAAACAGGGAGAUACUUUUUUCCAACCACUUUGCCUCCCAAAGGCGACCCAUUUUUCAAAGCUGUGAAGGAAGCGGACAAAUUAAGAGAGAAUUUGAGCAGCCAGAUCAUUUAAACUCCAAAUUCAUGUGGUCAACCCGUUAUGUUAGCCAAUGCCCGGUGGUUCAAGUUUGCAUCAAUGGAGUCUCAAUGCCCGCUCUCUUAGACACUGGAUCACAAGUGACCACAAUACAAGCAACACAGUUUGAGCAGCAUUGGACUGAGGAACAGAUGUUUCCGUCAACUUCCACAUUGAUAAACCCGAUUGCAAGCAAUGGGCACUGCAUCCCUUGCAAAGGAUACUGGGAAGCUGAAAUUCAAAUCGGACGAACAGUGCUACCACAGCAAGGCUUCAUCAUCACCACUGUCCAAGAUGAUGGAUUGCCUCCAGUGAUAGUGGGCAUGAAUGUGUUGCGGAACUGCUGUGAGGAGCUCGUAGCAGCACUCCAAGGAGAGUUUCAAACUGACAAGCUCCAGGAGAAACAAGGCCUUCAACCUGGGAUAGCCAAACAAAAGGGAAGAAUGAUAACAGAAUUAUCUGUAAGAGAGGAACAUGAAAAAAAUAAGGCUAGCCAAACAAUGAUAGAAAUGCCCAUCUCCAGUGUCCAGAUUAUCCGAAAGAAUGCUUCAAUGUUAGGCAUGAAUAAUAUAGCAUCCAGUUCUAGAAACUGUGAGCAACCUAUUCAAGGAACCAGUUUUGACCACCUGCAAGAUAAAAGUCAGAUGAUAAGACACCUCAAAGCCUUACUGAAGACUGGGAAAUACCUGACCAAGCGACAAAGGCAAGAAUCCUCGCCAGAACUCCUGAAGUUGUUGAGACAGCGAGAAAGGCUGUUUGAAAAGAAAGGACAGUUGGUUCGAUGUAGUGUGGAUCCUAAUACUCAUUAUAGGAUCAGUCAACUUGUAAUUCCAAGACAAAGUGCUUGUUAUGUGCUUGAAGAAUAUCACGACAAGUCAGGUCACCCUGGGUGCAAAAGGAUGGAAACAAGCAUCUGGAAAAAGUUCUUUUGGGUUGAAAUGAGGGAAGACAUCAAGAGAUGGUGUCGAAACUGUCCAACCUGUUCUGUAAGAAGAACCUUGCUGCCUCUUUCUCUCCAGAAUCCAUUGUCCCAAACCAGCUGUGAGACUGAAUCCCAAGAUGGAAUAGAAGAGGCUCAUAAAAUGUAUUUACAGCAGACUAAGGUGGUUUGUCACCGACAAGGAGGCAAGAAGACUAGGGCUUGCAAAACAGAAAACCACCAUAGUCAGCUGCAGUUUUGUACAGCAUGUCCCAAAGACAGUUUAGAAAGAGUUCAAUACUCAUCCAUGGCAGGGGGGUUGAGGUUUCCUAGACAAACUUUUCAAGACCAUAUACUGUCCAGAUUUCAACCGAUUGCUCCAGGAGCAUGUGUUAAUGUACUAUAGCACAAAAGGAAUUAUACCUAUCAGAUACUGAUGUUAAAAAUGUUGAUAAAUGUUAAUGUUUCAGACAUAAACUGUGUUCACUAAUGAAUGUGACUGGAUAUAGUGAGAAGUUUAUAUAGGGAUAAAACCAAAAUGCGUGAGGACACGCAUGUUUUGGGGGGGGCACGUGUGAUAUCCCAUAACAACAAGGACAUUUUUGACAACAGUGUAGUUGCCUGUGCCAUUUUAAAUAAAGUUUAUUUAAAAGAAACUUGAACAGCAGUUUGGGAAGUCAGUUGGAGCCAUGGUGAGGAAAGAGCUGGCGACGCCAUUACGCAGAGAUGAGCAGCUGAGAGAGGGGAGACAAAUAAGCUGAAAAUUGCAUGAGAGAGUAAGCAGAAGUGCAAAAUACAGCAGUGGAAGUGCAGCAAUUAACAACCCUGCCUGCCUUUCUUUGUGUCUGGGGAAACCUUGCCUCUCUGCCAGGAAUAGAGAAGAGCUGCAGCUGAAGGAGGAAUAGUCCAUCAAGAAGAUAAGGCAUUGACAUGGAGAGGACUAUAUUUCAUCGCAGAGGAAUGGCAGGACAUUUGUCCAAGAAGAGACACAGAGGUGGAGGCAACAUAACAUUCCUGUUAAAGCGCCACAGAUCCACUUUCCAUUCAAAGGAAUUUAAACAAUUGGUUGGCACAUAAGAAAGACCUUUGUUUAUCACAGAACUCUUUAAUAAAGCCCUCUAUAAUGGAGCAAACCGGUCAGGGAUUGCCUACGCUGGUGGAUACUUACCUGGCUACUUUGAAGUGCUUAUCUGUGAGUCCACAUAUAAUUGUGAUAGAGCUGAAUAUGGACGCCAGUGCUGCUUCAGAGAGACACCAGAACUGUGCCCAGGGGAGAGACCACAUUGCUAUUGGUAUGUGGAUACUCAACAUCAGGUAUAUAUACUGUACCUGCCCCCUAUCCGGCCAUAAACAAGCAGCAUUUAACUGGAUUGCCUGGCUCAUAUAUUAGCUCUGCACUAACUGAUGAAAUGUAAGCAUACUCUGGUACUUGUAGUUCCACGGAGGAGCAUUUCUCUGUCUACACUUUUAUAUUUGUGGUGGACUCUAAAUGUAUGAUCUCUUUAAUAGGCACUUGAUGUAUUUAUACACAGUGUGUUUUACUUAUAAUAAGGGCUAUUAACUA